AUUGAACGCUGGCGGCAGGCCUAACACAUGCAAGUCGAGCGGAUGACGGGAGCUUGCUCCUGGAUUCAGCGGCGGACGGGUGAGUAAUGCCUAGGAAUCUGCCUGGUAGUGGGGGAUAACGUCCGGAAACGGGCGCUAAUACUGCAUACGUCCUGAGGGAGAAAGUGGGGGAUCUUCGGACCUCACGCUAUCAGAUGAGCCUAGGUGGGAUUAGCUAGUUGGUGGGGUAAAGGCCUACCAAGGCGACGAUCCGUAACUGGUCUGAGAGGAUGAUCAGUCACACUGGAACUGAGACGCGGUCCAGGCUCCUACGGGAGGCAGCAGUGGGGAAUAUUGGACAAUGGGCGAAAACCUGAUCCAGCCAGGCCGCGUGUGUGAAGAAGGUCUUCGGAUUGUAAAGCACUUUAAGUUGGGGGAAAGGGCAUUAAGUUAAGACCUUGCUGUUUUGACGUUACCAACAGAAUAAGCACCGGCUAACUUCGUG
rnacentral:rRNA from 1 species